UAGUCAUUUUUCUUUCUUCGGUAAUCAAA
rnacentral:piRNA from 1 species